UAGGGAAUUUUCGUCAAUGGGGGGAACCCUGAACGAGCAAUGCCGCGUGUGUGAAGAAGGUCUUCGGAUCGUAAAGCACUGUUGUAAGUGAAGAAUGCCACAUAGAGGAAAUGCUAUGUGGGUGACGGUAGCUUACCAGAAAGCCACGGCUAACUACGUGCCAGCAGCCGCGGUAAUACGUAGGUGGCAAGCGUUAUCCGGAAUCAUUGGGCGUAAAGGGUGCGUAGGUGGUACGAUAAGUCUGAAGUAAAAGGCAACAGCUCAACUGUUGUAUGCUUUGGAAACCGUCGAGCUAGAGUGCAGAAGAGGGCGAUGGAAUUCCAUGUGUAGCGGUAAAAUGCGUAGAUAUAUGGAGGAACACCAGUGGCGAAGGCGGUCGCCUGGUCUGUAACUGACACUGAUGCACGAAAGCGUGGGGAGCAAAUAGGAUUAGAUACC
rnacentral:rRNA from 1 species